CCUACGGGUGGCAGCAGUAGGGAAUAUUGCUCAAUGGGGGAAACCCUGAAGCAGCAACGCCGCGUGGAGGAUGAAGGUUUUCGGAUUGUAAACUCCUUUUGUUAGAGAAGAUAAUGACGGUAUCUAACGAAUAAGCACCGGCUAACUCCGUCCCAGCAGCCGCGGUAAUACGGAGGGUGCAAGCGUUACUCGGAAUCACUGGGCGUAAAGAGUGCGUAGGCGGGGUAGUAAGUCAGAUGUGAAAUCCUGUGGCUUAACUAUAGAACUGCAUUUGAGACUGUUAUUCUAGAGUAUGGGAGAGGUAGGUGGAAUUCUUGGUGUAGGGGUAAAAUGCGUAGAGAUCAAGAGGAAUACUCAUUGCGAAGGCGACCUGCUGGAACAGUACUGACGCUGAUGCGCGAAAGCGUGGGGAGCAAACAGGAUUAGAUACCCCGGUAGUC
rnacentral:rRNA from 1 species